UAGGGAAUCUUCCGCAAUGGGCGAAAGCCUGACGGAGCAACGCCGCGUGAGUGAUGAAGGUCUUCGGAUCGUAAAACUCUGUUAUUAGGGAAGAACAAAUGUGUAAGUAACUAUGCACGUCUUGACGGUACCUAAUCAGAAAGCCACGGCUAACUACGUGCCAGCAGCCGCGGUAAUACGUAGGUGGCAAGCGUUAUCCGGAAUUAUUGGGCGUAAAGCGCGCGUAGGCGGUUUUUUAAGUCUGAUGUGAAAGCCCACGGCUCAACCGUGGAGGGUCAUUGGAAACUGGAAAACUUGAGUGCAGAAGAGGAAAGUGGAAUUCCAUGUGUAGCGGUGAAAUGCGCGGAGAUAUGGAGGAACACCAGUGGCGAAGGCGACUUUCUGGUCUGUAACUGACGCUGAUGUGCGAAAGCGUGGGGAUCAAACAGG
rnacentral:rRNA from 1 species